GGGACAGUGUUUCUAUUGUGUUCAGCUGGAGAAAAAUUAAUUACAUUAUGGAUUUUUAAUAUACUCCCAAGCUAGAGGAAGUUUAUAAGAGUUAGUUUCAUGUUUGUACGUCUAGGUAACAUGUUUAUACACUGUAGCAUGAAGCUUUGACCAAAAAUAAGAUAUUUUGCAUUUUGGGAAGCACAUAGUGGCAGAGGUACCACCUGACAAUUUGACAUAUAAGAGCGAAAAGUAAUUUCUGAUGUAUCAGAGAAUUCUUUUCAAGUCUCAAGGAUACCUCACAUACCGCCGUUUUGGAGCCCAACCUUCCUUUGGUGAUCUAAGUUGUUGGGCCAACUUUGGCACCUAUAUGUCCUUUGUUGGAGGCAUCAAAUUUGUGACGAUGUUGGAGUCUUUCCAGAGGUGUUGGGGUAACUUUUCAUCUCUUCAAACACUGAAGUUACUUACAAGAACUGCUACUACCUACCAACAAAUCAAGAAGUGAGAUCUCUUUCUGUGUAAAGCUGAAUGGAAGUUUGCCAGAGUGAUUGUGGAAAAAGGAUAUAUUUUAACUUCUAGCGAUGUGAAUGAUUGUGUUCCGUACCGAUAGAUGUUUUGUUUCUUACUGUUUGCUUUGAAAUGGGUAUGGAAGUAGUGGGAGUGGCCCAUUGGUAAAAUAUUUGAGAUGGUCCAAGAAUCACUAUAGAGGGAAUUCUAAAUUGAUUACAAUACAAUUGUGUCAUCAAAAUUUGUGAGUUCACUCAUUUCUCUCAUCUACUUCUCUUUAGAUUUUUCUCUUCCAACAAAACCUAUCAAUGUUCCUUCGUUCCUCCUCUUUUUUCUAUUUUCAAUUCCUCGUACUAUUUGCUAAAUUUGUUGGGCAUGUACAAUUUACAGAUGUUGGUUAUCCUUCAUUUCCCAAUUAGUGGUCAUUUACUUCAGCACAGAGUGGUCCAAGAAUGCCCCUGUUUCAUAUAUCCAGAUAAAUUUUUUAUUCCAAUUGUAACAUCAUAAUAAAUUGGUGUUUUCUCUCACACGUCCUUUUUUUCUUUUCUUUUUUCUCUAACAUUUCACUUCUGAAUAAACUAGCUAUUUCCAAAUAUCCAAUUAUUUCAUAGA